ensembl:lncRNA
GGGCUUUCCCCGCGGCCCGGAGCGAUGGGGGAGCGGCGGGCGCUCUCACCGCGUGGAAAUGGACGGCGGAGCCCAACGUCGCGGGUAGAAAUGGCCGCCCCCCUCCGCCGGGAGAUGGCCGGGAGGGGGGGGGGGCGGACCGUGCUCCGCAACGACUGCAAGCGUGGUCCCGCUAUUAACCGUGAUGAAUUGCCCUCAAAGAGCGAGUUGUGAAAGAGAGAAGUCCAGGCAGGUGUCCGCGAUAAGGAGACAUUAAAAUGCUUCGUCUGUAAACUCGCUUGUCCCACGGAUGGGAACCAGUGGGUUUUCAGGCUGUGCCCACCGAGAAUGGGCUGAGCGCAUUCGUUCGCCUGGCUGUAAGUGCACAGGGGUGGCUCGGAGCUGUACAGACUCACACAACUGGAUGAUCUCGCAGGGGCUGUCGUGGCCGAAUGCCACAGACUCGACUGUCCCGUGCUGCAGAGAAGCGUGCGUUGGGAUCCGGCAGUCCUGUGGAAAUUCAGGUUCACUGAGCUCAAAAGAAACGCGGAGCCACAAAUGUAUGAGCCGGGUUACACCCACGGCUGCCGGCGGGGCUGGGGAUGCAGUGCUGUAUUCCACACAUACCCAUCAGAACGAGGGCCCGAGCUGCUGAGGGAAGAGCUCAGAAGCUGUUGAAUCCCAUUUAUUAUCAAUUUUAUGAUGAUUUUUCUCUCGCUAUUUUGCUGCCUUGUUUGGUUAUUGAUGAAUUCCAGAACGGUUUCUUCUUGUUUUGCCUCUGUGUUUUAUGCUUUGGGAUGGGUGAGGGUAAAAUGAGCAUCAGUGGCUCUAUAAAGAGUUCCUUGAGCCUCGUGCUCCCUUUGAAAUCCCAAAUGGAAGGUUGUCCUGCCACGGGGCUGUGGAAUUACCCCACAGAUGGGGAGGAUGGGGAAAAAGCAGCAGUAAGGCCAUCGUGUACGUGGCAUUGCAAGAGAGUAAAGAGAGACCUUACAGAAAUAUACAGCAGGGCUCUGUGGGAACGUGAAGGUUCAGACUGCAGCCUGGCCCUGUGCUUCACUGCAUUGGCUUCCCCCACUUCAGCGUGUGUGCACACAGAGUCCUGUGUCUGUUGUUUCCUCCCAGUGCUUUAGGAUGCCAGUGACUCUUGUUUGUGAAACAAAAGGGCAGCUCAAGAGGGAAAAAAAAAACCUGACACUGUGUUAAUUUUCGCAGGUUUGUGUUUACAGCGUAUAGUAAUAAUACCUUGCAUUUGUGUAGCACUUGGCGUUUGGCAAUCAGAAUGAGCACUGUGCCCGUGCUGAAGUGAAUUUCGCCAUUGCUCAGAGACGUGUGGAUGUGUUAUCCUCCUUUUACAGCUAUUUUAAAACACCACCAGGAGGGCUUAGAUUGCUGCUGUACAGCACAAACUACAACAGACGCGGUAUAAAGGGUGGGCAGACUACCUGCUGCAAUGGUUUAUAUGUUUUGCAGUGUAUUUGUGGUGGGACAGCAGAAGCUGUGAAUUUAAAAGGCCAAGCACAUUCACAUUCAUGAGUGAUAAAAGAGCUCUGGAGCUGGAAGUGAGGCACGAUUCCUUCCUCAUCUCCAUUCAUCUACAUGCUGAUGAUCUGCACGUCUUUCAUCUUCAGACAUGCAGGACCCGAUCUGAGAAGAUCUGCCCCAAUGUGGAAAAUGUAUUGUAAUGUCUUUUUCUCUGAUGAGCGGCUUAUAAACGUUUGAGCUAAGAUUUCAGCAAUCAGAGCUAUACCUUCCGCCUUCGUUUCCUGUUUAACCUUGUUUCUCAGGUCUUCACUUCAAUCAUGCAAUUACCGCUUAUGCAUUUUUAGGAGAGCUUCAUUAAAACUGUGCCCUUGCAUUGGUUUCAGCAGCACCGGCAUUCAGUUGUGCAGCACUUGCAGGUUAGAUUGCGGUAGAUGGUUUAUUCUCAUCCUUUAAAGACUGCCUUUUUUCCCACUGUCCCUGUGGAAAAGCGAGCAAUUUAAUACAAUGAUUCCUUCCAAAACGUUUUAGGUCACAUCGUUGGUUGGUGCAUAUUGGCAUUAUGAGAUGAAAAUCGAUGGAGCUGUGGCACUCUAUGCAGUUCGGGAUUCCAGGGCUUUAAUUCCCUCCGUUUCAAGAGAUGCGAUACUGAAAUCAGUCCAAGUAAUGGUUGAAAUGAUUGGAGUGGAAGCUUGCACAGAUGAUGUGCCAGGUGCUAAGAAAUGCCAGCUCAGAAAACACUCAGGGCACUGUUAGACCUGGGGAAGGUGUUAGGAGGAGCAGCCGCCCAUUACCAACUUCUUACCCUUUUUCCCAAACAAUGUGGUGUUGCUGUUAGGUGCUGUGCUUGACUGGACCUCACUUUGGGAGACGGUAAUAACAGGUUUUGUAUUCUGGCUCAAAGCAGCCCCCGCGUUUGCUGUAAGCCUACGGAUGCUAACUGCUUUGAUCACUGGGGUUUCUAAUAGCAAAACGUUAUUCAGCUUCGUUUGUGUAGGAGUCUCACUGCAUAAGGGCUGAGGCAGCAAGGAAAUCAGAUACUUCUCUAUGUCUGUGCACGGGAUUUAAAAACAUGGGGAAAAGUAUUUCAAAGUGUCCUAAAUCCCAAAGUGUAAGGCAUGUAUUGUUACAGAUGAUAGUAGGUUUCCUGCGGUGAAUGCAACUGCUGUGGCUGAUAGAAAGAAAAUUGGUGGCAUGAAAACUGCUGUAGCCAUUGGACGUUCUCUCCAAAUGGGCUUUAAGUGCAUGUUCUUGUUUAUUGCUCUCCUGCUGGGAUGAGGUCCUGCAACCAUCUCUGUUACCAAUUCGUCUGCCCUGUAAGGACCUCAUUUUUCAGUCUGGG